CUGAACCAGCCAAGUAGCGUGAAGGAUGAAGGUCCUACGGAUUGUAAACUUCUUUUAUACGGGAAUAAAGUAUCCUACGUGUAGGAUUUUGUAUGUACCGUAUGAAUAAGCAUCGGCUAACUCCGUGCCAGCAGCCGCGGUAAUACGGAGGAUGCGAGCGUUAUCCGGAUUUAUUGGGUUUAAAGGGAGCGCAGACGGGAGAUUAAGUCAGUUGUGAAAGUUUGCG
rnacentral:rRNA from 1 species